rnacentral:tRNA from 1 species
UAGGGUGUAGCUCAGUGGUAGAGAGCUUGUCUAGCAUGCAUUAGGCUCUGGGUUCAAUCCCUAGUACCUCAA